rnacentral:tRNA from 1 species
GCAGAAGUGAUGGAAUUGGCAGACUUCUCGGUCUCAGAAGCCGAGGACCUUUGGGUCGUGAGGGUUCAAGUCCCUUCUUCUGCA